rnacentral:rRNA from 1 species
GAGUGAACGCUGGCGGUAGGCCUAACACAUGCAAGUCGAACGGCAGCACAGUAAGAGCUUGCUCUUACGGGUGGCGAGUGGCGGACGGGUGAGGAAUACAUCGGAAUCUACUUUUUCGUGGGGGAUAACGUAGGGAAACUUACGCUAAUACCGCAUACGACCUACGGGUGAAAGCAGGGGAUCUUCGGACCUUGCGCGAUUGAAUGAGCCGAUGUCGGAUUAGCUAGUUGGCGGGGUAAAGGCCCACCAAGGCGACGAUCCGUAGCUGGUCUGAGAGGAUGAUCAGCCACACUGGAACUGAGACACGGUCCAGACUCCUACGGGAGGCAGCAGUGGGGAAUAUUGGACAAUGGGCGCAAGCCUGAUCCGGCCAUACCGCGUGGGUGAAGAAGGCCUUCGGGUUGUAAAGCCCUUUUGUUGGGAAAGAAAAGCAGCAGGUUAAUACCCCGCUGUUCUGACGGUACCCAAAGAAUAGGCACCGGCUAACUUCGUG